CAUUAGAUGACUGAAAAGCAAGUACUGGUCUCUUAAACCAUUUAAUAGUAAAGUAGCGUUUACUUCUAAUGA
rnacentral:tRNA from 1 species